AUUGAACGCUGGCGGCAUGCUUUACACAUGCAAGUCGAACGGUAACAGGCCGCAAGGUGCUGACGAGUGGCGAACGGGUGAGUAAUGCAUCGGAACGUGCCCAGUCGUGGGGGAUAACGCAGCGAAAGCUGCGCUAAUACCGCAUACGAUCUCUGGAUGAAAGCGGGGGACCGAAAGGCCUCGCGCGACUGGAGCGGCCGAUGUCAGAUUAGGUAGUGGGUGGGGUAAAGGCCCACCAAGCCAACGAUCUGUAGGUGGUCUGAGAGGACGACCAGCAACACUGGGAAUGAGACACGGCCCAGACUCCUACGGGAGGCAGCAGUGGGGAAUUUUGGACAAUGGGCGCAAGCCUGAUCCAGCAAUGCCGCGUGCAGGAAGAAGGCCUUCGGGUUGUAAACUGCUUUUGUACGGAACGAAACGGUCCUGGUUAAUACCUGGGGCUAAUGACGGUACCGUAAGAAUAAGCACCGGCUAACUACGUGCCAGCCGCCGCAGUAAGAC
rnacentral:rRNA from 1 species